CGCUGCUCUACUACUUUGAUUACCCAUAUUUAAGCCAAUAUUUCUCGAACAGACCUGCGAUUGUAUGUGCUCGCAAACUCUUCUAAAUCUUCGAAUAUUGCCUGUGAAUUAAAAAAAAAAUCAUCAAAAUUGAAAUAAGUAAAAAUUACCUCUUCGGUACUCGUGAGCAAUUUGCGUCGAUGGAAUCGUGGACUUCCUAGGAAUGAAUUUUUAAUUGUUGUCAAACGUGAUCUCCAAUGAUGAGCGCCCGAUCCUGCUCCCGUGUGAGGUGAUCCUGGAGGUGUUACACCAACUAAAAAAAAAAAUUUUUUUUAAUACCAAAAUUAAGUUGAACUUCACUUAAUUCAAUUCCAACGCUUGCCAAUGGAGGAAUGGGAGUUGGAAUUCCUUGUGUCGAAUUGCCAUUUCCGCCAGCGGUACCGACAGUUGACAAUCUAUGCGGACUUCCUGUUUGGCCAUGAUGUGAGCUUGGAGUCGCUCUAUGAGGACUCAAUAGACCUGAGAAAUUUGAUGUGUGAAGAGGCGAUCCACCAGGAGUCGAUGCGUGUGAAUGCGAAGCCAUCCGAGACUUGCGAUGGCCUGUAAAACGUCAGGAUCAAUUGCGUCCUCGGACGGAAUCACGUGUGUUUGCACCACAUCCAUCAUUGAAAGUUCUAAUUCCAAUUCUCCCUUGCCAGCAGCUGUCACCCAUAUAUGCCUGUUUAUCUCCGCUAACUGAAAGCCGGAUAUUGUUUAGCUCGAAACAUUUAUAUAUACAGGUAAAAACAGAAUAUUGUCAACAUGAAUAUUUUCUCGAGAAAGGAGAGAGAGAGAGAAAGAGAGUUUCGGUAUCAUUCCCUGAAGAUGUGAUUUAACCAACACCCUCCUAGGAAAUAAUUUCCUGACAAGAAAUUUCAUUAGUCGCCGUCAACUAGAGAUGGAAGGCAAGGCGUGUACAAAACUUCAAGUGUUGUAUAUAAGGGAGAAAUUUUCACCAGUCAACCAGGUGGCUAUUGAAUUUAAUUUGAUUUGUUUUUCGGAUCAGUUAAUACCGCUGAGAGACAACCUUGACCUAAUCAUCUCUUCAACGAAUGGAUAAUCAUUUUUCCUAGUAUCAAAAUCUCAUUUUUUUUUCGAAAACAUCAUUUUUCAAAUUUUUUUUGCCUUAGAAUAAUUUUUUUUUUACUUUAAAUUAGAUUAAUUUAAAAAAAAAUACUUUUUAUAUUUAAAAUGAGAUUAUGUCUCAAAAUAUAGAAAAUGUUUUUUUUUUUCGUUGAUUUUUGUGAUUUGAAAAAAAAGAG